rnacentral:rRNA from 1 species
GUGGAUUAGAUACCCUGGUAGUCCACGCCCUAAACGAUGCGAACUGGAUGUUGGGCUCAACUUGGAGCUCAGUAUCGAAGCUAACGCGUUAAGUUCGCCGCCUGGGGAGUACGGUCGCAAGACUGAAACUCAAAGGAAUUGACGGGGGCCCGCACAAGCGGUGGAGUAUGUGGUUUAAUUCGAUGCAACGCGAAGAACCUUACCUGGCCUUGACAUGCACGGAACUUUCCAGAGAUGGAUUGGUGCCUUCGGGAACCGUGACACAGGUGCUGCACGGCCGUCGCCAACU